UACGUAUGUCGCGAGCGUUAUCCGGAAUUAUUGGGCAUAAAGGGCAUCUAGGCGGCCUAACAAGUCAGGGGUGAAAACCUGCGGCUCAACCGCAGGCUUGCCUUUGAAACUGUAAGGCUGGAGUACCGGAGAGGUGGACGGAACUGCACGAGUAGAGGUGAAAUUCGUAGAUAUGUGCAGGAAUGCCGAUGAUGAAGAUAGUCCACUGGACGGAGACUGACGCUGAAGUGCGAAAGCCGGGGGAGCGAACAGG
rnacentral:rRNA from 1 species